rnacentral:rRNA from 1 species
AUUGAACGCUGGCGGCAUGCCUUACACAUGCAAGUCGAACGGCAGCACGGGCUUCGGUCUGGUGGCGAGUGGCGAACGGGUGAGUAAUGUAUCGGAACGUACCUUUCAGUGGGGGAUAACGUAGCGAAAGUUACGCUAAUACCGCAUAUUCUGUGAGCAGGAAAGCAGGGGAUCGCAAGACCUUGCGCUGAUUGAGCGGCCGAUAUCAGAUUAGCUAGUUGGUGGGGUAAAGGCCUACCAAGGCGACGAUCUGUAGCGGGUCUGAGAGGAUGGUCCUCCAGACUGGAACUGAGACACGGUCCAGACUCCUACGGGAGGCAGCAGUGGGGAAUUUUGGACAAUGGGGGCAACCCUGAUCCAGCCAUGCCGCGUGAGUGAAGAAGGCCUUCGGGUUGUAAAGCUCUUGCGGCCGGGAAGAAAUCGCAUGGGCUAAUACCCUGUGUGGAUGACGGUACCGGAAUAAGAAGCACCGGCUAACUACGUGCCAGCCGCCGCUGUAAUAC